UACGAAGGAUCCAAGCGUUAUCCGGAUUUAUUGGGUUUAAAGGGUGCGUAGGCGGCUUAUUAAGUCAGUUGUGAAAUACUUCAGCUUAACUGGAGAGGUGCAAUUGAUACUGGAAGACUUGAGUACUGAUGAGGUAGGCGGAAUGGACGGUGUAGCGGUGAAAUGCUUAGAUAUCGUCCAGAACACCGAUAGCGAAGGCAGCUUACUAAGGAGUAACUGACGCUGAGGCACGAAAAGUGUGGGGAUCAAACAGG
rnacentral:rRNA from 1 species